rnacentral:lncRNA from 1 species
GUGUGUGUGUGUAUCCAUUUUAGACAGCUUUAGUGUCUCAGGAUGGCGUAUGCCUAAUCCAGUUGGAGUUGGGUCUAAUAGAAAGGUUCACAGAAGAUUAAGUUUAAUGCACUGUAAUAGGUAACUGAGCUUUUGCCAGUAUGAAUUUUAUAAAUGUGACUCUCAGUAAGGACCAGAAAAUUCGGUUUACAAGCAUCUUGAAGUGUUUCCUUAUGGACUUUUGCAUCUUUUCUUUUAUGCGGAAAUCUCCAAAGAGACCAUAUGAGUGUUGGAAAUACCAAGUGAAGAGUCAGAGAAGGCAGCGAGAGAAAGAGACUUUGAAGCCUGGUAUUUUGAAACUGUUGUUUCAAGAGGCCGAUGGUGAGAUUAAAUUGAAUUGAUUUAUACAAAAAUUGGAUAUGGAGCAUCAAGUAAAAUGUCAGAGGCAAAGGAAGAAUUACAAAAUCUGUAAGAGCAAUAAUUAUACAAAAGAAUAAUAAUGGUUUUCACAGCAAGGAGCUAAGUGUGUGUGACUUUAGCUUAUUUACCUCUGUGGCAGGGCAGAAAUUAAGGGCCAAUGAAGGAAGUGUACCACCCUAUGUUAUAUCUGAAAGCCUAAAAAACCUGGUGCUACCAGAACUUUGCUGAGCAAAGAAGCCAACAUAAAUAAUGAUAACGUAACCUGAAUGCAUUUAGUUUUACGCUUUUCAUAGCAUUUUCACUUUUACAUUUUGAAUUAAUAUUCUCUAUUAUUUUGAAACAUGGGUAAUGUAGGUCUCCCAUUUCUUUCUUCUGUUUUUUUUUUUUCUUUCUUUUUUUUCUUUUUUGAGACGACAUCUUGCUCUGUCUCCAGGCUGGAGUGCAAUGGUGCAAUCUCGGCUCACUGCAACCUCCGCCUUCCGGGUUCAAGCGUUUCUCCUGCCUCAGUCUCCCAAGUAGCUGGGGCUACAGGCAUGUGCCACCACGUCCAGCUAAUUUUUUGUAUUUUUAGCAGAGACGUGGUUUCCCUACGUUAGCUAGGAUGGUCUCGACCUCCUGACCUCGUGAUCUGCCCGCCUCGGCCUCCCAAAGUGCUGGGAUUACAGGCGUGAGUUACUGUGCCCAGCCAGGUCUUCCAUUUCCACAGAUGAAAAUAUUAACGUAGAGAAGAGUCACAGAAAUAAGUGUAAUUUUUUUCCCCCUUGACUAAUGCAAAUGCGUAACUGUGUAACUCAGUCUGCAUUCACUUUCUGUUCAGGAAUUUGAACUUUAUACCUCAGGCAAUGGGGAAACACAGAAGAUGUCUGAACAGAGACAUAUCAGGAUCAGAACUGUGUUAUGCAGGGGAUACCCAGAAUGGUUUGAAGGAGUUGGGCAUGAUCCCUGGGAGGAAGAAGAGACUGCACUAGAAAGGGGUACUGGUUGAAAAAUAAAGGGUGAGGCCAGGCACUGUGGCUCAAGCCUGUAGUACCAGAGCUUUGGGAGGCUGAGGCAGGAGGAUGCCUGGAGGCCAGGAGUUCAAGACCACCCUGGGCAACAUAGCAAGACCCCAUAUCUACAAAGAAAUUAAAAAAUUAGCUUGGUGUGGUUGUAUGUACUUGUAGUCCUAGAUACUCAGGAUGUUUGGUUGAGCUCAGGAGUUUGAGACCACAGUGAGUUAUGAUCGCACCACUGCACUCCAGCCUGGGCCACAGGCUGUGACUUUAUCUCAAAAAAACAAAACAAAACAAAAACAGAUGCUUUUGAAAAGACACUGAAUGAGAACUCUCCAAUGUGCUAGAGAUGAGAAGAUAGGAAAAACACUUGGGAGAAGGAGGGACAUAGAUUGGAAAUGUGGGCAGAGCUCAUUCUGGGUUGCCGAAAAAACCAUAGGCAUUGUGUUGUUGUUUGUUGUUUGAGAGAGUCUUACUCUGUCGCCCAGGCUGGAGUGCAGUGGCUCAAUCUCAGCUAACUGCAACCACCACCUACAAGGUUCAGGCGAUUCUCCUGCCUCAGACUCCUGAGUAGCUGCGAUUACCAGCAUCCGCCACUGCACCUGGCUAAUUUUUGUAUUUUUUUUUCAGUAGAGAUGAGGUUUCACUAUGUUGGUUGGGCUGGUCUCAAACUCCUGACUUCAAAUGAUCCACCUGCCUUGGCCUCCCAAAAUGCUGGGUUUACAGGCGUGAGCCACCAUGCCCAGCCACCACUGGCAUUGUGAGUACCCACAUUUUCAAACUCAGAAGUUAACUCUUAUAUUCAUUAUGUCCUUGAUGGAAUUUGAACUCUAAUCCUCCAGAAACAAAUCUCUGAGAUGGAAUAAAUAAUAAAUGCUAGUUUCACUAAUUUGAAAGCUGUGAUCACUUGAAUAGAAUCUAUUAGUUAGAAAUUCGAAACCAUCUGUAGAAAAUAAUUAUUCCUUGGGCAGACCAGACAUUGUCCUGAAAAUCGCAAGGAAAUUAAUUGUUUUCAUGUAUUCUGAAACUACUUGAACAACAGGCGCUAGCAUAUGAUUAAUGUUAAAAAUAUAAAGGUCUCAUUAAUAUUACAAAUAGAGCAUUUCACAGCCUUCUGUUGAAAAACAGUUUAAUUAUAUAACACAUUAUAUAUGUGCUCAAAAUAAUGUUAACAUUUCUAUAUUCUGGAUAUUUUACUUUUGCUUAAUUAUUCUAAAUUAAUGUGAGAUUACUGACCAGGCAAAUCUGUAUAUCAAAUCCAUAUUUUUAUUUUUCCUAACUCAGGAUUCAUGUGUUUAAACAAUAGUAAACAAAUGGAAAGAACUUCAGACUAGCUCCAGAAAGUUUUGAAAUACUACAAAUUUUAUAGACAUUUUAGUUUUAGAAUUUGAUCAUUUUUAAUUUUAAAAAUUUUAAUUGACACAUAAUUAUAUAUGUUUAUGUAGUACAGUGUGAUAUUUCCACACAUGUAUACAAUGUGCAAUGAUCAAAUCAGGGUAAUUAGCAUAGCCAUCACCUCAAACAUUAAUCAUUUCUUUGUGUUGGGAACAUUCAACUCCACUCCACCAGUUAUUUGGAAAUAUGCAAUAAAUUAUUGUUAAUUGUAAUCACCUUACAGAGCUACAGAACAAUAGAACUUAUUUCUCCUAUCUAGCCAUAAUUUUGUAUUCAUUAACCAAGCUCUGGUUCUCUCCCUCCUUCCCAGCCCUUAGUAUACACUAUUCUGCUCUCUGGUUCUGUGAGAUCAACUUUUUUAGUUCCCCAUACGAGUGAGAACAUGCACUACUUGUCUUUCUUUGUCUGGCUUAUUUCACUUAACAUAAUGUCCUCCAAGCUCAUCCGUGUCACCACAAAUGACAGGAUUUCAUUCAUUUUAAUUGCUGAAUAAUAUUCUAUUGUUAAUAUAUACCACAUUUUCUUUAUCCAUUCAUCUGUUGAUAGGCAUUUAGGUUGAAUCUGUAUCUUGGCUAUUAUGAACGGUGCUGCAAUAAGCAUGGGAACACAGAUAUAUCCUUGGCUUACUGAUUCUCUUUCCUUCGGGUAAAUAUCCAGCAAUAGGAUUGCUGGGUCAUAUGGUAGCUCUCUUUUUAGGUUUUUUUUUUUUUUUUUUCGGAACUUCCAUAUUAUUUUCCCUAUUGGCUGUACUAAUUUAUAUUCCUACCACGAGUAUGCGAGAGUUCCCUUUUAUCCUCAUCCUUGUCAGCAUUUAUUUUUUUUUUUUUGUCAUUUUGAUAACAGCCAUUCUAACUGGAAUAAGAUGAUAUCUCAUUGGGGUUUUGAUUUGCAUUUCCCUGAUGGUUGGUGAUGUUGAGAAUUUUUUCAUAUACCUUUUGGCCAUUUGUAUUUUUUUCUUUUUGAGCAAUAGAUAUUCAACUCAUUUGCCCAUUUAUUUUGUUUGUUUGUUUUAGAUGGAGUCUUGCUCUGUUGCCCAGGCUGGAGUGCAGUGGUGGGAUCUCAGCUCACUGCAAGCUCCACCUCCCGGGUUCACGCCAUUCUCCUACCUCAGCCUCCUGAGUAGCUGGGACUACAGGCGCCCACUACCACACCUGGCUAAUUUUGUUUUUGUAUUUUUAGUAGAGUCAUGGUUUCACCAUGUUAGCCAGGAUGGUCUCAAUCACCUGAGCUCGUGAUCCACCCGCUUCGGCCUCCCAAAGUGCUGGGAUUACAGGCAUGAGCCACCACACCUGGCCGCCCAUGUUUUUAAUUGGAUGAUGAUGAUGAUGAUGAUGAUGAUGAUGAUUUUGCUGUUUAGUUAUUUGAAUUCCUUGCAUAUUCUGGAUACUAAUCUCCUGUUGGAUACAUCGUUUGCAAAUAUUUUCUCCUAUUAUGCCAGUUGUCUCUUCACUGUGUUGAUUCCUUUUGGUGUGCAGAAGCUUUUUGGUUUGAUUUAAUCCCAUUUGUCUAUUUUUGCUUCUGUUACCUGUGCUUUUGAUGUCUUUUUCAUAAUAUCUUUUCCCAGACCAAUGUCCUAAAGUGUUUUUACUAUAUUUUCCUCUACUAGUGUCAUAGUUUCAGGUCUUAUAUUUAAGACUUUAAUUCAUUUUGAAUUGAUUUUUGUGUAUGGUGAGAGGCAGUGGUCUAGUUUCAUUCUUCUGCCUAUGGAUAUCCAGUUUUUCCAGCACCAUUUAUUGAAGAGACUGAGACAUGUUUUCUAUUACAGGAGGAUAUGGAAAGAAAGUAAACCAAGCUGUUGAUCUUUAGGGUUGUUUAAUUCAUUUCACCAUGCCUAUUUCUACUCUCCAAAUACACUGUAGUUCCCAUAGAACACUAAGGCCUUGUCAAUUUGACUUACCAUGGUGGGGCCUGAGCAGGUGUGUGCUGUUUAAUGUCAGCAGAAAAUCAGACUGAGCCCACUCCAUUUAUGAAUGGCUUCCUCCUGGUUCCCAUUUGCAUGCAUGUGAAAUUAUGUUAAAAUGAACAUCAAAAGCUGUCAGACUGAGGUUAUAUGGAAAAAGAAGCCCACCUUUAUGCUUGGCAAUAUUGCCAAGGUAUAAGGGCCAAUUUUAUACAUAUGUUGUAGAAAAGAGUUUGAAAGGCAGCUCUUUCUUCCUGUUGAUCCCCAAGACAGUGGCCCUAAUUCACUGUGCCCAUCAUGUGAAUAUUCUUAAUGUAACCAUCUAUAUUUCUGCUAGAGUUGUGUUAAAUAACAUGACACAGUAAGUUUCUGUUAUGUCAAUUUGGUUGCAGGAGCGGGUAAGUAAUACUAUCUCAAAAAAAAAAAAAUGUUGACCUGAUUCUUAAUGUGUAUAGCCAGCUUUUUGACUGUUAUUCUUACAAUGUAGAAACACACAAACAUCUGCUUGCUAAGACAUUGGAGAAUGGUUUUAUUUUCUUAUACGUAUAUUUAUCUCAGGCUUUAUUCUUGGCUGCCUCUUUUGGGCUUACCCUGAAAAGAUGUUGCAUAUAUAAUCAACUGGGUGUUCACAUCAAUGUCUGUCAUUGCUUGGAGAGUUUAAAAUGGAAAAAUCUAUUUCCUCUGGCAGAGCUUUUUGUCUUAUUUUAAUUAUUCUUCGGAAUUUUUAUGAAACCAUGUUGUGUUGUCAGAAAUGGCCUCCAUGUUGAACUUUGCCUUGUCAAAAUAAUUUUAUCAUUCAUAAAUAUUUCAGUGAAAACCAAAGACUGCUUAUAAAUGAUUGAUUCUGUAGAGUUCACUGACAUUUCCUGUGAAGUCUUUUAUUAAAAUUAGAGUAUCCCAUCCUAAAUCUGACCAUUAAUUGUUAAUAAUGUGCAGAUUGAAACCUAGGUGUCUCUAAAACAUGAAAAAUUAAAUUAGUAGUUAUAAUGAUACAUUGAAAUUAAGAAGGUUCAUCACAGUUCAAAGAAGCUCAUUCUCAAGCUUAGCACUACACUAAAGUGUAUUUUGGUUUCUAAAUUAAAUAAGGCAAGCUUUGUACCUAGAAGUAUUCUAUAUGAUAUAGAGAGGACCAGAAGCAAUGAGUAAAGAAAGUUGAACGGCGGAAAUUAACAUGGAUGGGUUAUUUAUGUCAUUUAUUUAAUCUUACCAUUUCUUUUCCAUGAUGAAAUAUGGCCUAUUAUUUUAGGUGGGCAGACAAAAAUAAUGCUCACUUAAGUAACCAAUUUCUAAGUCAUUUGAAUGUUGAAGCUUAUGAUAUUGGAUAGAUCUAGUGCUGAAUAUGGGACUAAAUUUGAUUUUAAGAAGUAGCCAGUUUCUUUGCUUUUUUCAUUGUUAGACAAGCAGUUUUUUAUUACUCUUUCUAUACUUUCCAAAUUCUCCACAAGAGCACAUAUUGCUUUUCUGAAAAAAAGUUAAAAAUAAAAGAAAGCAAAAGAAAAGACAGAAAACAAUUCCACUAGCCAUAGAUACCAUUUUCAAACUUAUUUUCUUUUUAGUAUUUUCUAUACUUACUUUUUACAGUUUAUUCAAGGCAACAAGUAUUUGUAGAACAUUCCUGUGUUCUAGGCACUGAGAAUGGCAUCGAAUAGUAAAACAGAGGCUCUUUUCUGCAGAAACUUACAAUAUAGUUAGGAAGACAAGUCAUCCAUUUUCUUGUAGAACAAAAAAAGAAUGCAGUAAGUUCUGAAUGGGUGAUAGAGACAGAACCUUCAUAAAAACAGUCUGAAGAAAAUGAAGAAGCUUGGCUGUGGUGAUUAGGAGGUUCUUGAUGGUGGCAAUAAGCUUGAGUUGGUUUUGAAGUGUUCACGUUUGGGUUUUUUCCCCCAGUGGCAUCCGUAGGUGGAACAAUCUACAAUAAUCUACAGACUGUACUUGAUACGUCACAGAGUUCUCAAAUCUUCUGCGUAUAUCAUUGGGGCUUAACAAAUUGACCUCCUUUAGAGCAGAUGUUCUCAGUGCCCCAUUUAUACCUUUGUCAUCACAAUUUCCAUGCAAGCUGGCUGACUUUGAACACCAAGCACCACAGCUCUUUGCCUGAGGGUAUUUUCUGGCCACCCAAGUCUGUUCUGCCUACCUUGGCAUCAGCCACAAAUGCUGGGGAGCUGAUGCUCUACUUGGAAGAGUCUUCAAGACAUAACUGAUGGGAGUUAGUGGAUAAACACCUCAAUUCCGUCUAUUCAGUAUAUUCCAGGGGUAUAACCUACACUGUCUUUCAGAAUUCCUGAUGGGAUGGAGGGCUAGUUACAACUGUGAUCACAGACUUCUAAAGCUUAUUGCCAAAAAUUCUAAAGAUGUAGUACUAUGGCAUUCAACCUCAUCCCUCUCUGUUAAAUAAGCUUUCAGGGAUUGGAGGCAUGUUAGAAGUCAUCUAAUCCAAUCACCUUCUAGUAGAUUCUGUCUGACUUUGCCUACAUCCUGGUGACCCGCCCUGGAGACAGUUCCAUGCUUGGAAGGUUUCCUGCAGCUCUCUGCCUGUGGGUCUCCUCUGGCUGCGGAAGCUGCCUGGUCCACAUGGUACAGGCCUAAGUGCCCAAGAAACAAAUGGCAAGGAAUAAGGAAUGAGUGCUAAUGAACAAAUACUACAGCAGGAAAUUCUGAGGAGUGAUCAUCUCAGAGGAGCUCCUGCAGGGUUUGUCUUUAGUGUUUCAGAAUUAACGCAUUGAGCAGCACCCUUUUUUCUUUUCUCGAUUUCACUUCCCCACCCACUCUUCACCCGGCUUCCUGAAGCCAUUGCCCUGAUAAACAACCUGCACUCAAACACUUGAUCAGGGUGGGUAUACUCUGGGGGAACUGAAACUGGGACACUUCUCAUUACAGAGGAGAAGAAACUGAGACUGGAAGAGUGGAAGUCAUUUGCUGGUAGUUCUGUGCAAUUCUGUUAUGUGGUAGAGAUUAUAGUACACAUGCAGUUUGUAUCAUGCUUUUGCCAUUUCAAUACUUUUCAAAAUACUUGAAUUUAAAUAAAUAUUUUAAAAUAAUAAUCCAUCAUGUAAAAGAACCAUGAUUUGCUUAACCAGUACCUAAUGGUGGACAUUUAGGUUGAUUCAUUUACUGAAAGAAUCAUAGAAACCCAUUGAGGGUGUUUUGUCAGAGAAGCUCCUGAUUCUACCUGAACUGAAGAUAUUCUUCAGUUGCAUUUAUAUCUGUCAAAGUCCACACUCCCCUGCAUCUAUUUAUGAAUACCAGAUGGGCUAUUUUUGAAUGCUAGCACAGUAAAAUAAUGGCAACCUAUUAAGGUCAUUAAAGGAAGACUGCAUGGAAUUUAUGAUCAGUGGGCUGCCAUUUAUGCAACCAAGGAGGAUCCAUAAAAUACAAGAUAAUCUGACAUUGAUUUGAUUUCUGAUCUGAGUGAAUGCCAAGGAACCCCUACAUCUGUGGACAUACGAUGUUUUCCAAGCUCUUUUCCAAUACUGUCCAUUUUUGUCCCAUCGAUUAUCAUUUCCACUGCAUCAUUCAGGGAUAAAAUUAAUUGCUAACUGCAAGGUUUCCUGAGUGCAGUCAGUUAAUGCAUAAGCCUGUUUACUGCAUGCCAGAUGGUUCCACAGUUACUUAAGAAGGGACAAAUAUUGAUAAAACAGUGUACAAAACUGUGCCACCAAACAAUUCUAUAUAAUAGAUGUCUGAAGUGAGGGGACUUAGAGAAAAAAAAUCUUGCAAGUAGUUACAGAUUAUUUCUUUGAAAAGCAAUUAGGACUGCAAAUGCCUUAUUCUUUAACUUUAAGCUCUGCAUGACAAGAGGAUAAUUUUCUUAGAUCCCUUUAAAAUGAGUCUUACUUUCACAUUGCCAUUUAACAGGAUAGACAAGGAGGAGUAAAAUGGAGGAUGCCCAAAAGUUUGCAAAGUGGGGGUGGCAAAUGGACCCCUGGAGGUAUUUCUAUCCCCAGCCCUAGCAAUGUUCGGUUUAGGGCACUGGAAGGGUACACCCUCUUCUGAGAACUCCUCUCCUGGAAUCAAUAACUACUGAAGGUGUUCUUCCAUGUUUGGAGUGGCUGUCCGCACCUUUCAUCCUAUGUAGUGACAGAGGGACACUUGCUUGGCAGUGCUGUCAGAGUGACAAAUACAUCUAUACAUGUGCUACCAGGGGCUGGCGUGUUUUUCCAAAGGCUGUCACCCAAACAGUGUGCUUCUGCUAUUCAGGGUGGACUCACCAUUGCAGAAUCAUUUUGAGAAACUGGUUAUUGAUUUUUCAUCUUUCGGGCAAAAGGAGGUGGAGUGAAGUUGCUCUUCCUGCCAGUGGCUGCAUAUGAUACUGUCUGUGAAUUAGCCCCGAGCUCUAUUAAAAUCAGCAAAUACCAUCUUGAAAUUGUGAGGUUGCUCCUUUAGGUGAAAGCCCUGGAAACUCAAACAAAAAUGCAAGUAUGUAAGUAUGUUGCCCGGGAGGGAGAACACAAGCAACUCUUAUAAACCAUUAACGUGUGCAUGCAAAUUAGAUUAUUACAAUCACUUUAGCAUUGUAGCAAGAUGUUUUGGGAAUAGAGAGGAAGGGAAGCAGAACAUCAAGAGUUAUUGAGGGCUCUGGGUAACAGUGGACAGGAGGAAGGCACUGUUCAUCUCGGGGAAGAGACACUGAUCAGAGAUGGGAUGGAGCAGGAACAGAGGGUCCCUAAGGGCACAUUUCCUUCAUAAUACUGCCCUUACGAGAACUAGUUUUGGUGUUUUUCUCUGUAUCACCAACAGGGCUCUGUUCAUGUUUUGAAAAUUAUAAAUGUGUCUAUGAAUAUUGAUGAAAGGUGAUGAAACAGGUAUAAAAUGUUACAGGGUCCCUGGAGAGAUUUAGAGAGCCAUUCCUUGAUCAUAUUAGGAAAUAGAAUGCUCAUUAACAUUACCACUUUGGAAUUACCUUGUAGACAAAACAUUAGCAUUUAGUUAAAAUCUAAGUUAUAUUUCUGCAUUUAUAAUUUGAGUAAUUCUUUCAACUUGGGUAAUAAAAGAAAAAUUGUCAUAUUUCAGUCACUAAAGAAAUGCUCAUAGGUGUGGCUUCUAACACCUUCAUGUUCUUAAUAAUUCUGGUGAACUUGGCACUAGAGAUUCAUGUAUUUCUAGGAUGGAUUAUAGAACAUUUGUCUCAUCAGUGUAAGUCUAACUUUUUUUUUUUUUUUUUCAGAUGGAGUCUCACUCUGUCACCCGGGCUGGAGUGCAGGGGCAGGAUCUCAGCUCACUGCAACCUCCACCUCCCGGGUCCAAACAGUUCUCCUGCCUCAGCCUUCUGAGUAGCUGGGACUACAGGCAUCUGGUAUCAUUGAGCUUGGAAUGGCCUCUUCAAAAACUAACUCAAGAGGAUUUCUGACUCUCUCUAACCUGCUCCAUACCCUAGUAAGUCAGUUUGGUCAUUGAAUGCAGCUCUACCCAGAGAGGAAUCAUCUUCUCUCACCUGCUUCCUGGGUAGUGAUCAGGAUGAAAGGAGUAGGGUUUUAUAAAAAUCUAUUUUGAAACCUUGGGAUUCCUCCCCCACCAUUCUUGGAUAUGAUGUUUUUUUCCUUUUCCCUGAAGACAACCCCACACCAACGCAGCUGACAUGCCCUGUGAAUGAUACUUCUGCCAAAAGGGGACAUAGGAGAGUCAAACUUAGUUCUAGUUCAGGCCCUUGAGUUCUGUUGUUUGAUCGACAGAGUCCAAGAUCAUAAAAAUAAUGUCUUGGUUGGAUAUACUGCUUGCAGUCCUCCUUGGAGGCCCAUGUGGUACAAAGUUGGAAGCCACAAUGGAUCUCUGAAUGGUUUAUACAAAUUCUUUUUUCCCUCUUGCACUGGGCUCUCCUAGAUAAAAAUUCUGAGGGUGUUUAAGAGACAGGCCACAUUUUGUGCAAUGGGAUAAAAACAACCAUCUCAGCAGCCGGGGAGGCAAUACUUUAGGACCUGGGAGCUGUGGCAAGGGGAUGGUGGUUUUUCCAAAAGUAGGGUGACUUGUAUCUUGAAGGUAAUUGUAAGAGACCUUCAAGUGCUUAAAGAAAAGGCAAUAGUAUAUCAUGUAGCCCUCAGAUGGCUGCAAGAUCAUUCCAAAUAAGGCCAUCCUUGGAUAUUUGUAGGAACUUCCUGGAGAGAUAACUGACUCAUUAUUUACGCUCACCCCAUAGACAGUUACACAUAUGAUGGACAGGUGUCCACACAGUGUCAUUUAAUAUAAAAGUUGGUAAAAAUUUUGACCCUGACAUUGAUACCAACUUUGCCCUCGAAGGCAAUCUGUUUAACCCCAGGUCACUGGAAAAGGUUGUUGUGGCUGAAAAUAUUGCCCUAGAUAUCCUCCUUACUGGAAAAGGCACAGAGUCUGUGUAAAUGCUAAUAUAUCCUGUUGUACCUGGAUUAAUGUCUCAGGUGAAGUGGGAAAGUCAACACAGAAAUUUAGAGAAAGACACUUGACUUUCUGAAGUAGAUCCUGAUGGCAUAUGCGGUUUGUUCAGCUGCAUCAGGGAACCAGGAAUGGAUGGUCAGGUUACUACUGCAGGUUGGCUGCCUCCUGGGGCUUGGAGUCCUAUUGGCGGUAGCCUUUAUUAAAUGCUGCAUGAGACUAAUUGAAUGGAUUUGGUCCUAGCCUCUGCUGGUCAGAUUAAUCAGAGUAAGCAUUGGAUUGGCA